AGUGGGAUAGCUGGGUCAAAUGAUGGUUCCAUCCAAGUUUUCCAAGGAAUCUCCAUACUGCUUUUGAGAUUGGUUGUACCAAUUUGCAGUCCCAUCAGCAAU
rnacentral:pre_miRNA from 1 species